rnacentral:rRNA from 1 species
GAUGAACGCUGGCGGCGUGCUUAACACAUGCAAGUCGAACGGGAUCCAAGGGGUGCUUGCACUUUUUGGUGAGAGUGGCGACCGGGUGAGUAACACGUGAGUAACCUGUCCUUUUCUUUGGGAUAAGCAUUCGAAAGGGUGUUUAAUACCUUAUGUUCUGUCUGCCUCGCAUGGGGUGGGUGGGAAAGGCUUUGGCCGGAUUUGGGUGGGCUCGCGGUCUAUCAGCUUGUUGGUGGGGUGAUGGCUUACCAAGGCUUUGACGGGUAGCCGGCCUGAGAGGGUGGUCGGUCACAUUGGGACUGAGAUACGUCCCAGACUCCUGCGGGAGGCAGCAGUGGGGGAUAUUGCACAAUGGGCGAAAGCCUGAUGCAGCGACGCCGCGUGGGGGAUGAAGGCCUUCGGGUUGUAAACUUCUUUUGCUCUGAACAAGGCAUGCCAGUGGGUGUGUUGAGUGUAGGGGUUGAUUAGCGCCGGCUAACUACGUG